CCUGAUAAUGAUAAAUUCAAAUAAGAUUCUAUUGUAGUUUGUACAAACUGCAUCAAAAGCUAUCUUUGUUCUAAGUAGAAAGUCGUUAGAUACUGCUACAGCUGCCCGAAACAAAUGAUUGUAGCUUCCGAGAUUCCGUGUGAAAUCUUAUCCAUAUCCAUGAGACAAAAGCGUAGGCAAGAAACAUAAGUACUUCUCUAACGAGAAGGUCUUGUCCGCUCUAACAACACCAGCAUCAAAAUAAUGAUAUUACGGAAACAGGAAGCAGUUAUUAUGCUGAGAAAUGUUCAGAAUGAGAGCGCCAUUCUGAUUAUUCUGUAAUAAAACUUCAGCUUGAGUGUGGUUAUGUCAUUUUCGAUUAUUUUACAAAGUUAAGUUCAUAGUUUUACUUAUUUAGAUUUUGCAAAAUGAUUACUGUAAGUCUGUAGGUAAUUAUUAUGUUUACCAAUUCUCACAAAAAAAAAUGACAAUAUAUUAUUUUACAUAAUAUACUGAAAUCAAUUUUAUGCAUUUAUGAAUACUAUUUUAUAAAAAGUUAGAAUGAGUUGUGCAUGUCUAGCCGACAUCCUCUCGUGUAUAUGUGUCAUGGCAAUUUUAAUGGGCAUCAUAAUCGUCCUCCUGUUAGCUGAAGGAUGUCUCAAAAUUAAGGCUCCCUCUCCAAUAAACGGUUCUAUCAACAACUAAUGAUUUGGUGACUAUAUUUUACUGGUACUUUUACUGCACGAUGUAUUAAUGACGCAGGGAUAAAAUAUACCAAAUUUUAAUCCAAGAAGUAAAUCCGUUUCGAAUGGAUUACCAACUGGUUACCAAUCUAUAAGUAACUAUUUGGGAGUUAUGCGUGGGUGAAGGUAAACCUCGUUAAGUAACCUGAGUAAUUAUACAACCUACUACUUAAUUUUCAUAUAUCGGAACCCACCAUGGUUAGAUGAGUAAAGAAAAGGACAGCUGUCUCGCUAGAGUUCUGUGGCGCUUUGGGAGCGGCAUAUGUGCCUAUUUUAUACCUGAGUGUCCCAUCUACAAUAAUUUAAGCAUUCUUUAGCAUUAGUAUUAUUAAUUUAUUAAUAAGUUGGUAUUGAGUUCUUCCAAUACUGCUCAAAAUGAGUUGCCAGUUUCUAUGGAGCAUUAUGAGUUGCCUUAUAUGUGUAAUAAUUAUAUUGGUUAUCAUUGGAUUGAUACUAUGGGCGAUAAGAAAAGCAUAGUCUGGGUACUUUCUAUUUAUAAUUAGAUUAAUGAAUAUAAUGUAGGUAUCUAAGUACCUAAUGUUAUUUACUAAAAUAAAUAUGAUAAAUUUAAUCUUAAUUUUAUAAAAUCUGAAUUUCAUUUUA